GAACUGUGAUGAAAUUGGCUUUAGCGUUGGUUGGGUCCUUCGCAUUCUUCUGAUCUAUCAGAUGAAAUAUGGCCUCAUGUCUGAGCUC
rfam:Capsella rubella cultivar Monte Gargano unplaced genomic scaffold scaffold_2, whole genome shotgun sequence.